UAUUAAGAGAGCGGAUGCGUGGUAGGAGAGCGUUCUGUAAGCCAGAGAAGGUGAAUCGAGAGGUUUGCUGGAGGUAUCAGAAGUGCGAAUGCUGACAUGAGUAGCGAUAAAGGGAGUGAAAAGCUCCCUCGCCGUAAGUCCAAGGAUUCCUGCGCAACGUUCAUCGGCGCAGGGUUAGUCGGCCCCUAAGGUGAGGCAGAGAUGCGUAGCUGAUGGGAAGUGGGUUAAUAUUCCUACACCGGCUUGUGAUGUGAAGGGGGGACGGAUUGCGGAAUGUGUACGGGCUGUUGGAAAUGCUCGGUAUUGUAGCCAAGAAGUUGAUUAGGCAAAUCCGGUCAAAGGAUUCAAGGCUAUGAUUCGCAGAAGACUUAAGGUCUUUGAAGUCACAGGAAGUGGUUCCAGGAAAAGCCUCUAAGCGUUAAAUUACAAGUUGACCGUACCGCAAACCGACACAGGUGGACGGGAUGAAUAUUCCAAGGCGCUUGAGAGAACUCAGGAGAAGGAACUCGGCAAAUUGAUACCGUAACUUCGGGAGAAGGUAUGCCUUUGUAUGGUGAGUAGCCAGAAGAGGCCGCAGAGAAUAGGUGGCUGCGACUGUUUAUUAAAAACAUAGCACUCUGCAAACACGAAAGUGGAAGUAUAGGGUGUGACGCCUGCCCGGUGCUGGAAGGUUAAUUGAUGUGGUGAGAGCUAUUGAUCGAAGCCCCAGUAAACGGCGGCCGUAACUAUAACGGUCCUAAGGUAGCGAAAUUCCUUGUCGGGUAAGUUCCGACCUGCACGAAUGGCGUAACGAUGGCCACACUGUCUCCUCCUGAGACUCAGCGAAGUUGAAGUGUUUGUGAUGAUGCAAUCUCCCCGCGGCUAGACGGAAAGACCCCAUGAACCUUUACUGUAGCUUUACAUUGGAUCGUGAACCGGCCUGUGUAGGAUAGGUGGGAGGCGAAGAAGGAGGUACGCUAGUACUUUUGGAGCCGUCCUUGAAAUACCACCCUGGUUUGUUUGUGGUUCUAACCUUGGCCCAUUAUCUGGGUUGGGGACAGUGUAUGGUGGGCAGUUUGACUGGGGCGGUCUCCUCCCAAAGUGUAACGGAGGAGUUCGAAGGUACGCUAGGUACGGUCGGAAAUCGUGCUGAUAGUGCAUUGGCAAAAGCGUGCUUGACUGUGAGACAGACAAGUCGAACAGGUGCGAAAGCAGGACAAAGUGAUCCGGUGGUUCUGAAUGGAAGGGCCAUCGCUCAACGGAUAAAAGGUACUCUGGGGAUAACAGGCUGAUACCGCCCAAGAGUUCAUAUCGACGGCGGUGUUUGGCACCUCGAUGUCGGCUCAUCUCAUCCUGGGGCUGUAGCCGGUCCCAAGGGUAUGGCUGUUCGCCAUUUAAAGAGGUACGUGAGCUGGGUUUAAAACGUCGUGAGACAGUUUGGUCCCUAUCUGCCGUGGGCGUUGGAUACUUGACGGAGGCUGCUCCUAGUACGAGAGGACCGGAGUGGACGUACCGCUGGUGUAUCGGUUGUCAUGCCAAUGGCAUUGCCGAGUAGCUACGUACGGAAGAGAUAACCGCUGAAGGCAUCUAAGCGGGAAACUCGUCUGAAGAUAAGGUAUCCCUGAGCGUAAAGCUCCUUUU
rnacentral:rRNA from 1 species